ACUUCAAGAAAGAAGGUGAAAUCUAACAUGGUUAUUAAGGAAGGGUGCCCGGACAAUACACCUUUGCUUCUCUCUUGGACGAAGAUAAUCAUUUUGUUAAAGAGAAGAGCAGCAUAUCAAGGACUUAAGCUUGGUAAAUGAGUCUCAUCCAGAAAUGAGAAGAGAGGACUUAACUCAAAAGGAUUCCAUGUCCAACUACACGUGUCGUAUAACAUGAUCUAAAAGUUCAUCACAGAAGUUCAACUCUUGGAGUGUAGGUACUUCUUCUUGAGAGAAGGAAGACAGUUCAUCCCAGAAGUUCAACUAUGUUGAUGGAUUAGUUGAUAUGGAUCCUUCUUGUUCGGUGUCUAGACUCACGACUAUUAACCUUAAGGUUCCGAAGACUUAUGAUUUAAUUAACCAACGUGGUUCUGAUGAUGGUGAAAAGACUAAUAGGGAUGAAAUAUCUAGCCUUGAUUUGAAAGAAGGAAGCCAGAUAAUGUCACAAGAUAAAGAACCUCUGGCUUUGUCAGAACCAUUGAAGUUACUCGAUGAUGACGCUCAGGAAGUUCCGGCUGAUUCUUUUUCUGAACCAGUUAUUGACAAUGGUUUGCAUAAUGACAUGGUACAACAGAACAAGUGGGAAGUAAUUUGUUCCUGAAAUCGAUAGGAAACGAACUAUUUGAACGCAUCAAUGUAUCCUCAACUAAAGCAUUUACACAGAAGGGCUGUUAGUUAACUAAGCAAAUUUGAUAAUGUUCUUCAUGUAAUUCAUAUUAUCUCAUAGUUAAUAUU